CGGAGGGUGCAAGCGUUAUCCGGAUUUAUUGGGUUUAAAGGGUCCGUAGGCGGAUCCGUAAGUCAGUGGUGAAAUCUCACAGCUUAACUGUGAAACUGCCAUUGAUACUGCGGGUCUUGAGUAAGGUAGAAGUGGCUGGAAUAAGUAGUGUAGCGGUGAAAUGCAUAGAUAUUACUUAGAACACCAAUUGCGAAGGCAGGUCACUAUGUCUUAACUGACGCUGAUGGACGAAAGCGUGGGGAGCGAACAGGAUUAGAUACCCUGGUAGUCCACGCCGUAAACGAUGCUAACUCGUUUUUGGGCUUUCGGGUUCAGAGACUAAGCGAAAGUGAUAAGUUAGCCACCUGUGGAGUACGUUCGCAAGAAUG
rnacentral:rRNA from 1 species